AAGUGAUGUGACGAGUCUUACAGCAGAUGGAGGGCUGGUGUGUGAAUGAAACUCUCUUUAGGGAUUUCAGUAAAGCCAGACUUGACGAACGAUCUGGAAGGAAAAAAAACAUCAAUAACUGGAAACAGUUUUUUGAAUGGAAGUUCCCCAAACCGGAAGUGCCACCCAUAAUUCAAAACGCAGCAGGCUCGUCAGGAAUAAGAAACAAGCUUCAUAGUUUUGUGAUGGGAAGAGAAACAGAGCAAGAAAAGGAGACUGAAAAAAUGUGAUGGAGAUGAGAGAGGAAGAGCAGAUAAUCUGUAAGGAUGACCUAAUCAGUUCCCAUGCCUGUGCACUUCACAACAGUCACAUGGAAGAGGGAUCCAUAUUCAAUAAAAAAUACUUUGUGUGAAUAUA